AUUGAACGCUGGCGGCAGGCCUAACACAUGCAAGUCGAGCGAGAGGAGGACGCGUGUGAAUUGUCUGGGAAACUGCUUGAUGGAGGGGGAUAACUACUGGAAACGGUAGCUCAUACCGCAUACCCUCAGAUGUGCCCCGAUGGGAUUAGCUAGUGGGUGGGGUAACGGCUCACCUAGGCGACGUUCCCUAGCUGGUCUGAGAGGAUGACCGGCAACACUGGAACUGAGACACGGUCCAGACUCCUACGGGAGGCAGCAGUGGGGAAUAUUGCACAAUGGGCGCAAGCCUGAUGCAGCCAGGCCGCGUGUGUGAAGAAGGCCUUCGGGUUGUAAAGCACUUUCAGCGGGGAGGCGUUACCCGCAGAAGAAGCACCGGCUAACUCCGUGCCAGCCGCCGCGGUAAUAC
rnacentral:rRNA from 1 species